CACACAACAGAAGAGGGAAAAGAAGACAACUUUUAAUAGAGGUCAUAAGCCAAAAAGGUUGUGAACCACUGCUUUGACACAACUGUUUCUGUGGAAAACGGCCCACAGUCUGAGCCAGGGAGACUCAUACUGGCUCGGCCUGAGGAGCAGUAGUGCUGACGGGGGGUGAAAAUGGAGCGAUGGCUCCCUGGUGGAAAAGGGACCACAGUUUUGGGAGCGUGAGCCCAAUAAGGCAGCAGGGAGCAGGGAGCAGUGUGGUCAACUCACCCCAGCAGAUGACUACAAGAAGAGCUGGUGAGAGGAGACAAGCAGCUCUACAGUGAGAGGAGAGGAGUCCAAACUAAAUCAAAGGAAGCAAAGCAAAUGAUUCAUGUACAUUAAAGCCUACACAGCUUUUGAUUUUAAUCUAUUAACUGUAGCAAUAAAACAUUUAAAAAAAAUUAUUGUCACUACAAUAAUUUUUUUUUCUUCAUAUUUUUUUAUUGAGCCUUUAUUAUGUUUGCUAACUCACAUUUCUCAGUUUUCAUUGGUUUGAUUGAAAACACGUGUCUGUCAAACACAUCUGUCAAAAUUCAUGAACUCACUCAAA